AAAGAGAGGCGGGGCUCACGAGUGAAGCAGGGCAGAAGGGCGCGGCGCAAGAACUACUGAGAGCACCACGCGGAGGUUGGCGAUGGAGCUGAAAGUACCAGCCCUCUGAUCAUCUGGUUGGUUUCUCUGGAAACUGGCCCCCAUCUUCCAGGAAUCACCUCAUUAGUAUAAACUCAGCACAAUCAUGGCUCACUGAAACUUCUGCCUCCAGGCUCAAGCGAUCCUCCCAUCUCAACCUCCCAAGCAGCUAGGACCACAGAAAGAAGAAGUAAAAACUAAAAGGCACAAAUGGAAUCCACAGGCAGAUAGCCCAGCUCUGCGCCCUGGGCCUGGUAGUUAAACAUCAGCUCCUGACCUAACUGCUUGUGUUAUCUAUAGAUCUCAGACAUUGUAUGGAAAAGCAUUGUGAAAAUCCCUGUCCUGUUCUAUUCUGUUCUGAUUACCGGUGCAUGCAGCCCCCAGUCACAUACCCCCUUCUGGCUCAGUCGAUCACAACCCUCUCACACAGACCCCCUUAGAGCUGUAAGCCCUUGAAAAGGAUAGGAAUUGCUACUCGGGGAGCUCGGUUUUUGGAGACGUGAGUCCACCGAUGCUCCCAGCUGAAAAAAGCCCUUUCCUUCUACAACUCGGUGUCUGAGGGGUUCUUGUCUGUGGCUUGUCCUGCUACAAUGAUAGCUAUGUUAAGGCUUAACUGACAUACAAUAAACUGAACAUAUUUAAAAUGUACAAGUUUUGACACGUGUAUACACCUGGGAAAUUAUCACCACAAUUCAGGUCUGAUUUACAUGUUAGGCACAGUUCAUAGGGCCUAUUUUUUUUUUUUGAGACAGAUUCUCUCUGUUGCCCAGUCUGGAUCUGCUCACUACAACCUUCGCCUCUCAGGCUCAAGCAGGUCUCAAGCCUCAGCCUCUGGAGUAGCUGGGAUUACAGGUGCACA